AUUGAACGCUGGCGGCAUGCCUUACACAUGCAAGUCGAACGGCAGCACGGGGGCAACCCUGGUGGCGAGUGGCGAACGGGUGAGUAAUGCAUCGGAACGUACCUUUCAGUGGGGGAUAACGUAGCGAAAGUUACGCUAAUACCGCAUAUUCUGUGAGCAGGAAAGCAGGGGAUCGCAAGACCUUGCGCUGAUUGAGCGGCCGAUGUCAGAUUAGCUAGUUGGUGAGGUAAAGGCUCACCAAGGCGACGAUCUGUAGCGGGUCUGAGAGGAUGAUCCGCCACACUGGAACUGAGACACGGUCCAGACUCCUACGGGAGGCAGCAGGGGGGAAUUUUGGACAAUGGGGGCAACCCUGAUCCAGCCAUGCCGCGUGAGUGGAGAAGGCCUUCGGGUUGUAAAGCUCUUUCGGCCGGGAAGAAAUCGCACGGGCUAAUACCCUGUGUGGAUGACGGUACCGGAAUAAGAAGCACCGGCUAACUACGUGCCAGCCGCCGCCGUAACAC
rnacentral:rRNA from 1 species